rnacentral:rRNA from 1 species
GACGAACGCUGGCGGCGUGCUUAACACAUGCAAGUCGAACGGAAAGGCCCUGCUUGCAGGGUACUCGAGUGGCGAACGGGUGAGUAACACGUGGGUGAUCUGCCCUGCACUUCGGGAUACGCCUGGGAAACUGGGUCUAAUACCGGAUAGGAGCCAUUUUUAGUGUGAUGGUUGGAAAGUUUUUUCGGUGUAGGAUGAGCUCGCGGCCUAUCAGCUUGUUGGUGGGGUAAUGGCCUACCAAGGCGGCGACGGGUAGCCGGCCUGAGAGGGUGGACGGCCACAUUGGGACUGAGAUACGGCCCAGACUCCUACGGGAGGCAGCAGUGGGGAAUAUUGCACAAUGGGCGCAAGCCUGAUGCAGCGACGCCGCGUGGGGGAUGACGGCCUUCGGGUUGUAAACGCCUUUCGCUAGGGACGAAGCUUUUUGUGACGGUACCUAGAUAAGAAGCACCGGCUAACUACGUG